rnacentral:rRNA from 1 species
GAAGGCCUUCGGGUUGUAAAGCACUUUCAGUUGUGAGGAAAAGUUAGUAGUUAAUACCUGCUAGCCGUGACGUUAACAACAGAAGAAGCACCGGCUAACUCCGUGCCAGCAGCCGCGGUAAUACGGAGGGUGCGAGCGUUAAUCGGAAUUACUGGGCGUAAAGCGCACGCAGGCGGUUUGUUAAGCUAGAUGUGAAAGCCCCGGGCUCAACCUGGGAUGGUCAUUUAGAACUGGCAGACUAGAGUCUUGGAGAGGGGAGUGGAAUUCCAGGUGUAGCGGUGAAAUGCGUAGAUAUCUGGAGGAACAUCAGUGGCGAAGGCGACUCCCUGGCCAAAGACUGACGCUCAUGUGCGAAAGUGUGGGUAGCGAACAGGAUUAGAUACCCUGGUAGUCCACACCGUAAACGCUGUCUACUAGCUGUUUGUGGCUUUAAGCCGUGAGUAGCGAAGCUAACGCGCUAAGUAGACCGCCUGGGGAGUACGGCCGCAAGGUUAAAACUCAAAUGAAUUGACGGGGGCCCGCACAAGCGGUGGAGCAUGUGGUUUAAUUCGAUGCAACGCGAAGAACCUUACCUACACUUGACAUGCAGAGAACUUUCUAGAGAUAGAUUGGUGCCUUCGGGAACUCUGACACAGGUGCUGCAUGGCUGUCGUCAGCUCGUGUCGUGAGAUGUUGGGUUAAGUCCCGCAACGAGCGCAACCCUUGUCCUUAGUUGCCAGCAUUCAGUUGGGCACUCUAAGGAGACU